rnacentral:lncRNA from 1 species
AGUCACCUCAAUCACCACACUUGCCAUUGUGAUUUUACAUGGUUAGUGUUAUUUCUUACAGGUAAUGCUGUUUUGUCCGGAAAGUUGCUGACCUUGUAGCCCAGCCAAUAUUUUGGUGAAGAAGUAGAAGUUCCUGGAUGAAGAGUCUUGGUCAGGAGGUUCUCCUCCACGUGGUAAUCCAUGGAUCCAGUCUCCAACCAACUCAUGGCUGUAUAUCUGUCUGGCUGGUAAACAAAAAGAAAGAACAUGCAGAAUGCAGCCCUUGUUCAAUGACACUAAAGGAAGAUAGAAGACUUCAGGAGAAAAUGCAAGCCUAUCUCUAUUAGCUGUGGUGCAACGGCCGAAGCAGCAACUCCAAGGUGAUUUGGUGUUCUGCAGUGUAACUUGAACAUUUAGUCUUAAACAAAUGAAUAGCCUGAAAGCAGAGAAUCAAUAGUUCUCUGAGAACAGUGUUUGCAUUUUCCUUCCGAUUAUGGCAUUCUCCCAAUAACUUAGAUUUCCUUUAAUGACAGUGAUCUUGGGCAGCUUCAGAUGCUCUGACCCAGUGCCCAACCAGAUCUUAUUAAAACUUUUGUUAUUUGUGUACACUACAGUUUAUGUGCUAUCUGCAUAAUGUCCCUUUUCCUGGUAGGAAGAAAAUCACAGACAAAUGCGUUAGAAUGUAUUAUGUUAUAAUUCAUGUCUAAGAAAUUUUGAGGUAUUUGGUUCUAAAACACCUUGUACUAAUUUCUCAGUUAUCCCAGUACUUCCUCAAACCUCCUUAAAUGUUAUGAUUUUGGUCCCUACCAAGCAUGGUUAUCAAUGACUCUGUGAUUUCUUCUAAUAGGCAAAAUGCAAUAGGUAUAUUAAAAUAUAAGCCUAAGUCAUUUACAGCUUGACUUGUAUGGCUUUUGAUUCCUUUUGAACACCUGUCGACACGUACCAGUGGACACCCUGAAUCUCAAGUGGUGAGAAUAGCACAUGGUUCAAGUGGACCUCUGCCAACUCUGCUGCCAGAGUCCCAGUACAGUGGAUGGUUAAAACCACAUAUGGUUCAACCAGAUUCUAUGGGGCAGAAUGGGAAAGACAGACUUCUGGGCCUGUCAUAGAACAAAGAUCCAACCAGACAGCCAUUUUCAGGGCUGCCAAGAGUAUUAUUCAGAGAGAUGUGCACAGCAAUAAGAGACAGGCAAGUUACCCAUUUUGAGAUCCAAGAAAACGAAGUUUGUCAGCUAUGCACCCCAUGCCAUGGUAAUAGGUAAGCUCUUUGGUCGCAUUUUCAAGGAGAUGUGUUUGCUUGCUUUAGCCUCUAUUCCAAUCUCCUGAUUGCAAUUUAAGAGAAAUGAAAAAAUCUAGCCUGGCCUCAUAUUUAUUCAAUUUUUUUUUUUUUUUUUAGGGCCAUACUCAUGGCAUAUGGAGGUUCCCAGGCUGGGGUCUAAUUGGAGCUACAGCUGCUGGCCUACACCACAGUCACAGCAAUGCCAGAUUCAAGCCACAUUUGCAUCAUACACCACAGCUCAUGGCAAUGCAGGAUCCUGAACCCACUGAGCGAGGCCAGGGAUUGAACCCGCAACGUCAUGGUUCCUAGUCAGAUUCAUUUCCACUGAGCCACAAUAGGACCUCCUUCAUUCAAAAUUUGAUGCUUAAAAGGUAGGAAAAUAGUGGAGUAUUGUCCAAUAUAAAAAGAAUAAAUUGGACUUAAAAUUUUCUUUUACCACCAAUUUAUUUUAUGACCUUGGGUAAAUCACUUAUUUAUAAGUAUUUAUUUUUAAUGUCUUAGUUGUGCUAAAUUAAACUUAUGGCUGUUUCAGCUCUUUAAUCCUGGCUUUCUUUUUUGUUUGUUUGGUUUUUUUCUUUCUUUUUUUUUUUCUUCUUUUUAGGGCCACACUCACAGCAUAUGGAGGUUCCCAGGCUAGGGGUCGAAUCAGAACUAUAGCCACCAGCCUAUACCACAGCCAGAGAAAUACCAGAUUCGAGCCGUGUCUACAACCUACACCACAGCUUAUGGCAACACCAGAUCCUUGACCCGCUGAGUGAGGCCAGCAAUCGAACCCACAACCUCAUGGUUCCUAGUUGGAUUCAUUUCCGCUGCACCACGAUGGGAACUCCAAUCCUGACUUUCUAUUUCUACUAAUUAUUGAACAUCUAUAUUUACAACUUCAUCUUUCUAUUGAGCUGCUGUGAUACAAUCACAAUUUAUAAUGAAGCAUUCCUGCUUAUAAAUUGCUAUGCAGUCUCAGUUUUACCAAAGAUAUUCCAAGAUUAAAAGCUGACAUGAAUUGCAAGUCUCUCUCUUUAAUAAACCUAAUAUGCAAAUAUCAAAAAAACCCUAGAAAUUUUAAAAAAAACCCUGCUAUAUGAAAGUUUUAAAGCCUGACAGAACAGAUAAAAGUAAGGCGACAACUCUUAUGCAUACUAAAAGUUAGGAAGUUUCAGUCAUAUAUUCAUCCAUUCACUCAACAAUCAUUUAUUAAAUGAAUACCAUUGGCCAGAUGCCGUGCCAAGGGGCUAAGAACCGAGUAGUGAAUAAGACAGACGAGAGCCUUAUCUUCAUAGAUCCCACAUUUGGGGGGAAAUUGAAAUCAGUUAGAGAACAUUAAUACUGUCAUUUAUAAAUGUCCUGGGUAACAUAGCCCUUUCCUUAUGGAAUCUUCGAUCUAGCUGGGGGAAGAUAUUAAAUAACCACAUGAAUACUUCCCUUCAUGACAAGUAUUACAGAGAAAUGCAGGGAGCAGGGAGAAUGUAACACAGUGGAAAUAAACCCACUCUGGGGAUCAAAGGAUGCUUUUCCAAAGAAGUGACUUUAUCCCAUGAGAUGAAAGAGGAAAAUUUGUUUCUUAAGGGUGAAAAAUUUGUUUCUUAAGGUAAGAGUCGGGGGUGGAGAAGAAUGUUUCGCAUGGGGAGUAUUUGCAAAAGCCUGAAGCAGAAUGGUUUGUGGAGCUUCACCAGAAAUCAAAGUAAGCUCAGUGUAGAAUAAUGAGAGGAAGAGUGGCAGGCACAUCAGUAAGCAGGUGACAUGUGUACAGGCCAGGUUGGCAAGGGCCUAGUGGCCCAUUUUCAUAGUUCCAUGACUUUAAAGUAACAGAUACAUUUUAAGUAGAGUUCAAAGUACUGAAAGUAUUGAGUAAAAAAUAUUUUUCACAUGUUAUCUCUUUGUAUCUCACGUGUAAAGUGAAGAAAAAUAAUAGGUAAAGCUAUAAUUAUCAAACCGAUUGAACAAAUUAUGUCAACUUGACCCAAAUUGUAUAU